GUAUCACAGCGGUAGACCCAUAAAUGGGUCACAAACUAGCCCAGGGCUAGCUUUAAUGCUAACUACAUGCUAUGGGCUGGAUAAGGUUAAGCUAUUACCUUUUAUUGGAUUAGUGUCCGUUUGAACUAAAGAUUCAUUCCUUUUUUUUUAAUUUGCUCCAUCUCCUCAUCCCCAGACGUUAGGUUGUAUCUGAUAAUGGAUUAUCACAGCAACUCCAUGGAGUACAAUUAUUAUCGUCAGCCAGAAUACUUGGUAAUGGAGUAUGAGCAUUUUCUCAGAGAGGUAAAGUGGUUGCUGUGGGCAAUCGGUAUCAUCAGCCUCCCGUUGAACGGAGCGGUCAUCUUCGCUACGUUUUCUCAGGUAUGUCUAUAACAGCUGCAUGUUCUUACUGGGCCUCUGGGUUCAGAUGUGCAGUUAGUUCUGUUUGGACCAAUUUUCUCACACUGAGUGCAUGCAGAGGUCAGAACCUCAUUAACUGUUCUUACAGGUGCAGAGGGGCGUGACUCGGAUCUAUGUCAUGAACCUUCUGGUCUCUGACCUCCUGCAGCUCUGCUCUAUGAUGGCUUCAUUAACAAUCGAUUAUGGUAUGGGAUGGGAUGGUAGAAGGGUUUCAUCUCGCUCUGUGUCUACGUCUUUGGUCUGAUGGUCAGCGUUGGCUUCAGGACGUGCCUCGCUUUGGAAAGGUGUUCAGUGGUCUUGUGCCCACGAGGCUCCUGCUUCAGACAGUCUAUUAAAGUCUGUGCAGUGGUUUCCCUCUUUCUGUGGUUGGUUCCUCUUUGCAUCUUCCUCUUUGAUGUGUUUAGACAAGAUACAAUUGUCCAUCUCAUCUACCUCUUCCUUCCAUGUCCCUUCCUCAUCUCCACUCUUGUUAUAUCCCUUAGAUCUCUGUGUGUAAACAGCAGCGUUAAUCUCAGUCUAAAGCUCAGAGUCGUGGGCAGUGUGGUUCUGCUGGUGCUUGUUCACAUGUUGCUUAUUAUUCCCUCUCUGAUUGUAUGGCUGUCAGGAGGUACAGGAAGCUAUAUACUGGAUCAUGUGCCAGAUGUUAUUCUCAAGCUGGUUCCACUUGCAGACCUGUUUCUGUAUUUCUUUCUGACUAAAAGAGACACAGACAAUAACUUAGGUAACAGUGUGAACAGGUCAGUGAUGAACGAUGAGAGCAGCCACAUCAACAGCUCUGUGUAG
rnacentral:lncRNA from 1 species